GGGAUGGGCUGAGAGUGGCUGAGGGUUGGGAUUAAAGAGCUGAGGUCUAUGGUGAUAGGUGGGAUGGGCUGAGAGUGGCUGAGGGUUGGGAUUAAAGAGCUGAGGUCUAUGGUGAUAGGUGGGAUGGGCUGAGAGUGGCUGAGGGUUGGGAUUAAAGAGCUGAGGUCUAUGGUGAUAGGUGGG